UACAGAGGGUGCGAGCGUUGUCCGGAAUCAACUGGGCGUAAAGGGCGCGUAGGUGGCGCGGACAAGUCAGUGGUGAAAGUUCGACGCUCAACGUCGAAUCGGCCACUGAUACUGUUGGGCUUGAGCACUGUAGAGGCUAAUGGAAUUCCGGGUGUAGCGGUGGAAUGCGUAGAGAUCCGGAAGAACACCGGUGGCGAGGCGGUUAGCUGGGCAGUUGCUGACACUGAGGCGCGGACAGCGUGGGAG
rnacentral:rRNA from 1 species